UACGUAGGGUGCAAGCGUUGUCCGGAAUUAUUGGGCGUAAAGAGCUCGUAGGCGGUCUGUCGCGUCUGCCGUGAAAGUCCGGGGCUCAACUCCGGAUCUGCGGUGGGUACGGGCAGACUAGAGUGAUGUAGGGGAGACUGGAAUUCCUGGUGUAGCGGUGAAAUGCGCAGAUAUCAGGAGGAACACCGAUGGCGAAGGCAGGUCUCUGGGCAUUAACUGACGCUGAGAAGCGAAAGCAUGGGGAGCGAACAGG
rnacentral:rRNA from 1 species